CUGAAGCUCUGAAAUAGGAUCCCAUCCCUGGAUUCCCAGGUGUUCCUGAAGUCUCGUCAGGACAGAACACAGACCACUCACCAUGAUAUUUGGGCUCAGCUGGGUUUUCCUUGUUACUGUUUUAACAGGUGUCCAGUGUGAAGUGCAGCUGGUGGAGUCUGGAGGAGGCUUGGUGAAGCCUGGGGGGUCUCUGAGACUCUCUUGUGUAGCCUCUGGAUUCACCUUCAGUAGCUACACGAUGCACUGGGUCCGCCAGGCACCAGAAAAAGGGCUGGAGUGGGUCUCAGCAAUUAAUAGUGAUGGUGGUAGCACAUACUAUGCCAACUCUGUGAAAGGCCGAUUCACCAUCUCCAGAAACAAUGGCAAGAAUGAGCUCUAUCUGCAAAUGAACAAUCUGAGAGCUGAAGACAUGGCCGUGUAUUACUGUGCAAGAGACACAGUGAGGGAAAGUCACUGUGAGCCCAGACACAAACUUUCCUGGAGCAGACAAACCAGCUGGGCUGCAGAGGAUACUCAGGACACUAGGGAGCGCUCAGGUCACAUUGAGCACUGGGUUCAUUUCAGGAACAGCUGCAAAUGCACAUUAAUUUUUGGUAUCCUGGCAGGGCCUGAUGAAUGGACAGCUCCACACAUGGAGGCUACUGACAGCUCCAAAAACUUCCAGGCUUCUGUAAAUGCAUAG